GCCAGCUAACGAUCUGGCCAACUAAAUAUCCCAAGAGGCUCAGUUCAACUACAGUUCAGGCCAUGACUGGGUGAGAGAACGAAAGAGUGGAGGAGACAGAGUGAAGCCAUCGUAUACAUGGAACAAUUUGGAACAACUAGGUACAGGCGCCCACGCACAAAUGAAUCCUUGCAGGUCCUGCCAUGCAUAGACGUCCUCCAAAAACCAAGGUGUUACGUGGUGCCAGUUCA